GAAAUGCGAUACGUAAUGCGAAUUGCAGAAUUCAGUGAAUCAUCAAAUCUUUGAACGCAAAUUGCGCUUUCUGGAUAGGCCAGGGAGCAUGCCUCUUUGAGCAUCGUUUCUACCCCAUCUCGGCAGCUUGUCUGUCGGAUAAUGAGAUGUCUUACUUGAAAUAAGUAAGUCUCUUUAAGAAGCGUGAGUUCCUAAACUCCUAGACAAACAUAACUCUUGUAGAGUUUCUAAGUUUCUAGUGACAUGGAUAAUCUUUUUUAAACUUAUGUCAUUGGAAGAAGUGAAAUGAUACUUGAGUUCUAGGUAAACUUGAACUCGAUAAGAAAAUUAUUAUAAUUUUUGAAUUAGAUCUCAAAUGAAGCAAGAUUACCCGCUGAACUUAA
rnacentral:misc_RNA from 1 species